GAGGAAUAUUGGUCAAUGGGCGAGAGCCUGAACCAGCCAAGUCGCGUGAAGGAAGACUGCCUUAUGGGUUGUAAACUUCUUUUAUACAGGAAUAAAAAGGCUUACGUGUAGGCCAUUGCAAGUACUGUAUGAAUAAGCAUCGGCUAACUCCGUGCCAGCAGCCGCGGUAAUACGGAGGAUGCGAGCGUUAUCCGGAUUUAUUGGGUUUAAAGGGUGCGCAGGCGGGCUUUUAAGUCAGCGGUGAAAUCUGGACGCUUAACGUCCAAACUGCCGUUGAAACUGUGGAGCUUGAGUGAAGUAGAGGUAGGCGGAAUUCCAGGUGUAGGAGUGAAAUCCGUAGAUAUCUGGAGGAACAUCAGUGGCGAAGGCGGCCACCUGGACCGGUAUUGACGCUGAGGUGCGAAAGCGUGGGGAGCAAACA
rnacentral:rRNA from 1 species